rnacentral:sRNA from 1 species
GGAUAAUGUAUAGCAACGGAUAAAGCAUAAAAGGAAAGAGGUUUCUGGAAACUGAACUUGACUCGGUCGUCAACACAAGGCAAGUUACUAUUUUCUGAUGUAUCGAUUGGGAUUAUUUAGAACAAAUAGAUAUGGAUAAUGUACAAUAGUAUAAUAACAACGUAGUACUGUUCUUGAAUAAACUCAAGAAAAAAAAAAUUCCUAAAAUGUUGAAUCCUCGAAGAACACGAGAUGAAAAAUACACUAAUUUGAGUUCACGGUUUGUGCUCUGACUCUGGUGCUCCACGAUCCACGAUUUCGUUGCAUACGCUUGUGAGAUCUUCUCUUCAACUCGGCGAGUUGUUCCACCCAUCUCAUUCUCCAACUCUCGUCACCAAUGCCCAUUCUGCUUCUCAAACCCAGUUCGUAGUCAUACUCUGCUCGAAGCCUUGGAUUGGACAAGGUGGUGUAAGCCGCGUUCAGUUGCACAAACAUCCUCGUCAACUCCUCUUUCCUGGAACUAUCAUGGCACACAUCGGGGUGGUACUGACGAGCCAUUGAUCUGUGCGCUUUCUUUAUGUCGUCGGUGGUGGCGCUGUUGGGACUCAAACUUAGAAUCUUGUACAGGUUGUCUUCCACACCUCGAAGCUGCUGCUUCGUGGCUCUGCAUGAAACCGAGAAGCGCGUGGGAGGAGGAGGUGGUGCGUGGUGUAUCUUUGGGAGUGAAAGCGUUUGAAAGGGUUUGGAAAUGAUAAUGUGCCGACCUAAUGAUGGGCAGUUAGAAAGUGAGUGAAAAUUCGUGUCAUCCACUUCAUGACGAGGAUGAGAUGGAUGAGGCUUUGCUUUGUCCUCUUUUCAAGCAACUCAAUGGCAUGUAAGAUAACGCAUAAAGCAAAUACGAGGCACAAGAGAUGAAUUCCUUCAUCAAAC